rnacentral:rRNA from 1 species
UAGUCCACGCCGUAAACGAUGGAUACUAGCUGUUCGGACUUCGGUCUGAGUGGCUAAGCGAAAGUGAUAAGUAUCCCACCUGGGGAGUACGUUCGCAAGAAUGAAACUCAAAGGAAUUGACGGGGGCCCGCACAAGCGGUGGAGCAUGUGGUUUAAUUCGAUGAUACGCGAGGAACCUUACCAGGGCUUAAAUGUAGUGGGACAGGUCUGGAAACAGAUCCUUCUUCGGACUCAUUACAAGGUGCUGCGUGGUUGCCGUCAGCUCGUGCCGUGAGGUGUCAGGUUAAGUCCUAUAACGAGCGCAACCCCUAUCUUUAGUUACCAGCACUUCGGGUGGGGACUCUAAAGAUACUGCCCCGGUUAACGGGGAGGAAGGUGGGGAUGACGUCAAGUCCUCAUGGCCCUUAUGCCCAGGGCUACACACGUGCUACAAUGGACGAUACAGAGGGUCGCGACACUGCGAGGUGGAGCCAACCCCUUAAAGUCGUUCUUAGUUCGGAUUGGAGUCUGCAACUCGACUCCA